UGUUACAUUUACUUUUGACCAUUUUUGAAAAUUAUUUUUAAGCAACUCAUAAAUUUUGCUACAUAUAACAGAAAUUUAAAUAGAAACCAACCAUCAAUAUCGUAAAACAGUGAAACAAUCUUAAAUAUUGUGUCGGAGAAGAUUUUUGUAUACGUGCUGGUACAUAUGUUUUAUUUAUAUAGGAAGAAAAAACUUUUAAAGCAUUUUUUUUAUGAAAGCCAAGUUCAGCUCAAUUUCGUAAACAUAUUUGAAUAUACAAUUUUUCAUAUUUUCAAUAUUUGUUUGUAUUUUAGUUUUAUAGUCUUUAUUACGCCAAUAUAUGCAUUUAAUAUGAUAAAUGGAGAGGACUUGCAUUUGUAAACCUUCCACAAAUAACAUUUUGGAUUGAUUAUUAAUUUUCUAUACUAUUUUUCUUGUAAAACUAUGAUAUUUCCUAUAAUGUUCCAUUACUUUUUAUCGCUUAGGAGAUGCAUAAACCUUACAAAAUGACAUAUGAUGCGUGCAAAACAAACUAAUUCAUCACCUCUGAAGUUAUGAGUCAUUUCAAUUUAAAAUGAUCAGGAAUCUUUUGUUUCUUGUUUAUUUGGUGUCAUCUUCUGCACAAAUUACACUCAUAUGUUACAGAACAGCCCACUGAAUUUUUCGGCUUUGCAAAUUUCGACGAAAAAUCGAAACCUAGGCAGAUUCCAUCCGGAUGUGUGCCUUUGUAGAGGGGUUACUAUAGCGACAGAGACGCAAGUCCGUCAUCAGCCUCAGCCAGCUGCGUCAGAGGAGGAGAUGGCGGUUCCUGUUUCUGAGAAAGCAGCGCGAGCCGCGCCGCUCCUCGCUCUGCAAAUCCUGCCUCUUUACGCCCACGCGCUCCACUCCUUCACCUGUCGCUGCCUACCUGCGCCACGGUUACAGUUGCCAUGGCUACACAACAGGUAAACAAGGGUGGAGAUAAGGCGGGGUGAUGGGACGGGCUCUCCUUUAUAGCAGCGAUUAGUUACGAAGCGAAAAAACAAACAAAGAUGCAACAUUUAAAGGAAAAGAAAAGAAACUGUACGUAAAUGGGGAAAAGAUUGCAGUUCGAGUAUUCUGUCAAUUUUCUUUAUACGUUGUUAUAAUGUAUAUUUGUGCCAUUAAGACAGGAACAUAAAACUGUGAUUGAAUGUUUACAUUGUUGUGAAAAAACAUUUCCCGGUAUGGCCCUUCUCAGCCACCGUAGAACUAUGUAAAACAGACCCACACAAAUGAAACUUUAUGGGUAAUGGUCAGAAAUAUUGAUGCAGCUACAAAUUACUUAAUAUACUUCAUGGGUCAUUCCAGAAGUGGAGGACAUUUAACGUCCCACUGUCAUUUUUCAAAUACACCACAUAAGUCAAAACUAAAACAUGUCGGUUUUGAACACAUUUACUUCACAAGAGACCAAAUCUGCAAAAACUAAGCAAAAAGAGUGCUUGAAAAUAUUUUUAAAGACCAAAUAAGUAUGGAAUAUCCCCUAAAAUGCGAUUAUUCCCUUGUCCCACCUCCCUAAUGUCCUAAUUAAUUCAUAAAUAAAAGUUCAAAUUAAAUCACAAUGCCAUUUUUUGUAUCAUUUUGAUCAUUGUGUAUCAUUAAUGUCUCUUGUAACUGUGGGAACAUUUUCUUUAAUAAGCAAAAUAUGUCCAAUAAUUAUUAUCAAUGGAACGUGUGUCCCAAAACAUGCACCCACCCGUUGCCAUAACCUUUUAGCGCGGUAGCAAAAGAAUCUAGCAGAGAAACAUAUGAUAUGCUGGACAUGACAUCAUCAAACAGUUUUCCAAAACAACAUGUGGAGCAAAAGAAUCCCCUCUUUUCUAUUUUUUAUGUUAUAGUUAGCCAAAAUCGAAUGUCUGACCCUACCCUGUGGUGCAUAUAUUUAGUGUAAGACAAUUGUUUAUUCAAUUAUUUAUUCUUAUGUACAUAAGUCCGUUUGUCCUCUUGGUUUUCAGUAACAGCAGUCUAAACAGUUAGUGUUUGUUACAGAUUUGAAACCCUGUACCUGAAAAAAUUGGUAACUUAAUUCUGUAAUCAUUAAAGAUAUAAUGUAUUCUACAAUUGAUCUGUAAGUUGAGCUAAUCAAGGGUUUGAUGGUUUAUUACCUAUUAUUGAUAAAUAUGUAGCAGAAAAUCAUGAAUUUUUGGAGCCCAAAUGUCCUUCAAUUCUAAAAUGACCUUAAUGAAUUUAAAGUUUGGGGGGAAAUUAGCUUUGGAACGACUGUCUACAAUGGAAACCAACGUAAUUAUGUAAUAUGCAGAGAUCCAUCUGCUGUGUGGUUCUCUUCGUCCACUUCCCUCAGAUCUGCCCCACCCUGCAGCUGUGCAGCCGGUCAGCGCUCCCCACCUCCUCCCAGUCCUGGGUUCUCACCAUAAAAAGCUGCCAAUCUGGCUGGGGGAAGACAUAAUUGCCAUUAUGACUGCUGCAGGCCAGCACAUCACAGAGAGCGCUGCUUGUUCUACGGAGGAGGGGAGGAGUGGGGGACACUGUCUGCACUGUGCAGGCGCCACUCAAUAUUAUCGUAGCGUGACUUCAGCUCAUUCACAUACAAACACACAGGGUGCCGUUUUCAUCCCACUCCGUCUUUCUGUAAUCUUUCAGUCAUGCAUGAAGCAAACAUCGAUUUUCUAUAGGGCUAAAAAAAAAAAAA